GAGGGAUCCCGCGGCUGCCUGUCCGACACUGCUGGCCCGCCUGCGGGAGGGGCGCGGUGCCCGGUGGGAAACAACUUCCUGCUCCCCGGGCCCGGGGCGCAGGAGCUGCGGGGAAAAGUUCUAGGCCGCAGCUUUGCUGUCUGGGAGCCGGUUCCUCGUCGACCCUCUCCCGCAGUCGCGGCCAGCCUGGCUCCAGAGUCAGGACACGGGUCAGAAAGACCAGAAGGCCGCAGCUGCCUUAUCUGCCUGCUCCGCGGGGGAGCCCGAGUGGCUGCUGGCGCCUGGGGAGGCCAACCCGGGUCACUAUGCGCAGACCCCUUCCCCCUGUCCGGGCAUGCCCUCUCUCUCGGAGCCAGAUGGACCUGGCCGUCCCAGGAUGCCCGCCACAGGGGCCCGAGAAAAAUGAGGCCUCCUGGGCCCCAUCCCAGUGUCUCUCUGUGUCCCCCCCACCCCCAGCCGGCCUUGGCAUUCUAACCAGUGUCACUUGACGUCACAUCUCGCCAUUUCUGUCAACCAAUCGAAACUUGCCCGUUGUCAUAAAAAUAUAUAUACUUUUUAUGCCAUUGGUAAAUUCAAAA